GACGAACCGUGCGAACGUUGUUCGGUAUCACUGGGCUUAAAGGGCGCGUAGGCGGGCAUCCAAGUCAGUGGUGAAAUCCUCCAGCCUAACUGGAGAAGAGCUGUUGAUACUGGAUGCCUCGAGCGGGGUAGGGGCAUGUGGAACUUCCGGUGGAGCGGUGAAAUGCGUAGAGAUCGGAAGGAACGCCGGUGGCGAAAGCGACGUGCUGGACCCCUCCUGACGCUGAGGCGCGAAAGCCAGGGGAGCAAACGGG
rnacentral:rRNA from 1 species